rnacentral:tRNA from 1 species
GUCUCAGUAGCUCAGCUGGAUAGAGCAACGCCCUUCUAAGGCGUGUGUCGGGGGUUCGAAUCCCUCCUGGGACA